ACAGCAGUCGCCACGGUAAUACGAAGGGUGCAAGCGUUACUCGGAAUUACCGGGCGUAAAGCGUGCGUAGGUGGUGGUUUAAGUCCGUUGUGAAAGCCCUGGGCUCAACCUGGGAAUUGCAGUGGAUACUGGGUCACUAGAGUGUGGUAGAGGAUAGUGGAAUUUCCGGUGUAGCAGUGAAAUGCGUAGAGAUCGGAAGGAACAUCUGUGGCGAAGGCGACUAUCUGGGCCAACACUGACACUGAGGCACGAAAGCGUGGGGAGCAAACAGGAUUAGAUACCCCUGUAGUCCCUGUCUCUUAUAC
rnacentral:rRNA from 1 species